CAACAUAAAUUUUGUUUUAAGCAGAAAUAUGAUGCCUAAAUUGGAUCAUUUAGUUUUAACUGUUUUUCUUUGUUUUUAAAUGAUUUUGGUCACGUAAUAAUGAAAUAUUUUGCAUAUAAAAAGCGCACUGAAAUUUAUAGCAGCACAGUGUUCAGUAUAACAACUUACUAAACGUUUAUCAACCAAAAUGAAGUUUUUUAUUACAAUUUUUGCAUUUGCAUGCUUGGCCUACGUGGCACAUAGCGAAACUAUCAAAGAUUUCGGUAAAGAAGUAAAAGAAGCUGCAAAUCGUUGCGCUGAGAAAAAAGUCGAAGAAGCCUGCUUCCAUCGAUGCGUAGCUGAAGAUCCCGAGUUGAAUGUCAUCGAUGCAUCUGGAAAAUUCAGUGAUAAACACCUGCCUGAAGAUUUGAAGAAACACGGCGCGGAAUGUUUCGAAAAAUUCAAGAAUGAAAAUCCCUGCGAGCGUGCCAAGCAUUUCGCUGAUUGCAUUGGUCAUAAAUAAUGAUCAGAUAAAGUGUGCUAUAUUAUAACCUCUGUAACACUGGCUGAAUAAAUGUGAAUCACACCUUCUAUUAUAUACUAUGUGAUGUUUUCGUUCUGGUUGUGGUUUUCAAUGAAAUGUGUGAAUAGGUUUUAUUUUUGUUUGCUAUAAAAGCACGUGGGAUAAUUACACCCGUUAUAAUAAAUUAUGAAAUAUAGAAAUUUUCGGGUAUAAAUAUCAAAUAAUUCGGUAUCAUGACAUCAGUUUAUGGUUUAUCUACUAAGAGUAAGCAUCUGAUUCGGAAUAAAAAUGAAAUCAGUUUUGGUUUUUGGAAUUGUGUGUUUGGCAUUAGCUGCUGCGACAACUCCAGGAGAGUUUGAAGCAACACUUAAAACGGCUAUGGAAAAAUGUAAAGAUAAAGGCGAGUGUGUUAAUCGAUGCAUUUUUGAUGAGCUUGGUCUUCUUGAUGCUGAUAACACGUUCCACGUUGACGUAUUCCCUGAGGAUUUCCAUCCAAGAGCUAAAGAGUGUUUUGAGAAAUUCAAGGAUUUAAAGGGCUGUGAACAAGCGACGAAAAUCGCCGAAUGUUUCCCAAAAAAGCCUUGAAACUCUCAAUUGAAGAAUUGCCGCAUAAUGUAGAUAUUAAUAUUAUGAUUGUCAAAUAUGGCCGAACAAGAUAAAUAAAUAUUACGCGCUAUUCAUGUCGACAUAUUGAUUUAUUGAAAAAUAAAUAUUAUUCAGGUAUAGGUAUUCAAAUUGAUGUUUAUCGUUCUGGUUUUGAUUUUAAAUAGAAAAUUGAUUUAAAAAUGGUAUAAAUAUUUAAACAUUGACAUCGCCUCAUCAGUUACAAAUUACUAUCGGACUGAGAUCAAAUUAAUAUGAAGUUUUUAAUAAUAUUUGCUAUUUUUGGCUUGGUGUAUUCACUUUCCGAAGAAUCAACGGAAAGAAUUGAAAUUGAUUCCGAUGAAGCACCUACUAAUGCCCAGUUUGUUGAAACAAUCCAUAAAGCAGUUAUAACCUGUGAAGUUCAGCGUGGUUGUUUUAAUCAAUGUAUCGUUGAAACAAUUCACUUGAUUGAUCGAAAUGGUGAUUUUCAUAUCGAUGUUUUGCCAGACGAGUUAAAAACAAGGUAGAAGGAUGUUAUAAAAAGUUUAAACAUUUGGAGCCAUGUUACCGAGCUGAAAAUGUUGCGGGAUGUUUCCCAAAAUUGUGAAAAUGAUUUCAUAGCAAUUUGAUCAGUUCAUUAUUAACAAUACAUUCAUGGCAGAAUAAAUUUCAGGGCCAUUUGAAUUACAAUAAUGGAUAAUUAGAUUAAUGGAUUUAAUUUUGAUAAUAUCUGAUGUUACACAACUUUAUUGCUAAUAAACAUGUUUUGCUGUUUGACGUCGAGAAUGUAUCAUUCUCCAUUAACAUUUAUAAACAUACAUAGCGUAAAUAAUUUAGUUGAUGUUUCAAUAUCGAACAGUGAACAUUCAGUCAAGAUGAAAUCCGUCAUUAUUUUUGCGAUUUUUUUGAGCUAUGCACUUGCUACAGUCCCCGAUCCAAAAUGGUAGACGCUGCUUUAAUAAAGUGCAAUCAAACUGAGUGUGUUAACAAAUGCCUUAUGGAUGAGUUGAAAGUUUUGGAUGAUCAAAACGUAUUCCACAUUGAAGUGUUCCCUGAAAGAUAUCAGGAAAAGGCAAAGGUUUGUUAUGAGAAAUUCAAGGAUUUACCAGCGGGUUGUGAUCAGGCUUCAAAAAUAGGAGAGUGUUUCGAAACAACUGGUGUGGGUAUACGUUCUUAACUUUUAACGAGUGCUAUUAUAAUUAUUAUAUUCUAAUGCACGUGUGUGUGUGUGCAAAGCUUAAAACAAUUAUUUUGCAAUAAAUACAAUUCUAUUAUGAUGAAGAAUUUGUGAUGUCCGGAAAAUUAAACUCGUUGAUUGAAGAUUAUAGAAUGUUUUUAUUUUAUUCAUCAGUAGACGACUGUCAGACAGUUUCUGACUUAGGAACUGAACCAUGUUUACAAAAAACAAGUGAUAGAUGAUUUGCGUGUUAAUGUUAUUGCACAAUAUCAAGAGAUAAACAAUAUCACAGCAUUAUAGAUACUUGAAUGUUGUUAAAGUUGCAAAUAAACAUGCUCUGCUGGUUAUAUUUUACCAGCAGCAAGUAGAAAUAAUUUGUUUGGUCUCUGAGUGUUAACAGAAUUUACAGAAUCUAGAAUUACCUGUGCUGGUCUUAAUUUGUUGAUAGGUGGCUAAUUACAUCAUAUGUAAUGAGUGCUUAUUAAUUCUACACUAAGUUUUACACAAAUAUAAUUUAUACAAGAGUUCUCACAAUACAAAUCUUCUAAUUUCAAUGUCAAGGUAAUAUUUAAGUUAAGUUAAGUUGACGUACCUAAUUGUUUUCGGUCCAGUCGCUGUUUCAAAUGAAUCCUAUUUGUAUUUCUGAGAACUAUAUAACUUGGCUCUAAUUGAUUUAUGCUAUUUAAAUUAAAUAAACAUUGUCCAUGAGCGUAUAAAUACAAACUGCGUGUCGGAAUUUCGUCAGUUGUUAUUUCAUUAUCAAACAGUGAACAUUCCGUCAAGUCAAGAUGAUGUACGUCGUUAUUUUUGCGAUUUUAUUGAGCCACACAAUUGCUACACCACCUGAAUCACAUGUGGUAGACGCAGCUGAAAAAAAGUGCAAUCAAACUGAGUGUGUUAACAAAUGCCUGAUGGAUGAGCUGAAAGUUUUGGAUGAGCAAAACGUAUUCAACAUUGAAGUGUUUCCUGAUAAAUAUAAGGAAAAGGCUAAGGCUUGUUACGACAAAUUCAAGGAUUUAGAGGCGGGUUGUGUACAGGCUACUAAAAUAGGAGAGUGUUUCGAGACAACUGGAGUUGGAAUACGUACUCACUUUUAAUGUAUGUCAUCAUAAAUACGAGUACAAUUGCACGUGUGUUUGUAAACGAUUGUUCUGCAAUAAACACAAUAAAAAAUG